rnacentral:misc_RNA from 1 species
GACUACAAGACUAGAGAAGAUAACAUUAUUACGACAGGCAAAAAACUUGAAACCAGAAAGUAAUGAAAAGACGACGACCCCUCAUAAUUUGGGCAACCAACAUUCUCAAGAUGAAUUCAAAGUAAAAUAUACAAGUUUGCCGUUUUACCCCCUUUAUUAUGCGACAUAACAGAGCGUCAAGGGUGGGUGUUUGGCAAGUAGGCCUUAGCUCCAUGUCUUCCCUAUCACAAUUCCGGGUUGAAUAUAAAAACAAAAACCAGAAAAUCUUGGACCCCUUAGUCCUCCCAGGAAAAAAAAAUCCAGUGUCACAGAAACUUAAAUUAUUUCUGUAGUUAUCGAUGAAGAUAAUGAAAGAAAGUUGCUGGAGUUAAUAAUCUAAGCUGCAGAUUCCUUGGCAAUCUUCUCUGCCUUG